GCUGCAAGAAAAAAGUUUUUUGGACAGAGACAAGAUUCGGUGUGAUCGGCUUAUCUAAAGCUUCAUAUUUCACGACUUCGACCGAGAUUCAACAGACCAUACAUACUCGGCAGAUUGUGCUCAAUCAAAACAAAGCAAACAUGGCUCACAAUUUUGAACUGCUGUGCCGUCUUGCAAGAGAGUGAGAUUCAGCAACACAUAGAAAGACCACAGCAUGGAUUAAGAGACAGGAAGAAACCAUUUGAAUACUACGAGGAUGAACCUCUCAGAGUGGGGUACCAACAGAGAGAACCACACAUUGCCUGUCAUGUUACAGGUUUUGACAGGACUUGGUUUUAUGUCAUUGGUACCUUUUAGAAGAUGCAAGCAGACGAAGCAACUAUAUCACAGUCAUCCGUGUGCAGAAUCAUCAAAGAUUUUUCUGAGGCAAUAGCAAGGAGUAACAGUCAAUGAAGUUUCCGAUGACGAGAAAUUCAAACCACCCAGCGACAAUUUGAUGAUUGCUACAGGUUUCCAAGAGUCAUAGGUGCUAUCGAUUGGGGCCAAUCCAGGCCAUGUCUGCAUCAGGAGUCCUGAUGGGGAACAAGCCCUGUACUUAGCAGGAAGAACAGGUCUUCUGUAAAUGUAUAGGUAUCCGUUGCUCCCCUCUUUGAUGAAUUCCUGCCUGCAUUCUGUUGUCAAUAGAAAAGGACGGUGUGCUACGGGUAUAAGCAUUCCAUUGGAUUAUCUGUGCAUGAAAGUGGACACUUGUGAUAAAAAAUGGUAGCUUGGUUGUAGUGGCGUACCUAGGAUUUUCCACAGGGAGGGCAAAACCGUUCGGCCGAAAAAUUUUACAAGUAAAAAAAAAAAAGGUCUUCAAUCACAAAUAAAGGAUUUCGUACCAGAAAAAAAAUUGGCAAGCAAAAAAAAAAGGUGUUCAAGCUCGUCAGGGGGGCAGGUAUACGUCCUUUGCAUGGGUUGUGGCUCGUCGUAGGUACGCUAGUGCUUGGUUGAUAGGAUGUAUUCAUGCAUUCCGAUUUAUCAUUAGUGAUCAAAUGACCAUCUUGCUUUUUAAAAACCCAAGUUCACAACAUUUUUCUUGUUUGAUAAAAGGUUUGGGACGUGAAUUCCAGGAUAUAAAUGACACAUAAUUAUGAUGGGCUAAUGUAUAAGCAGGGACAUGAGAGGUAUAAGCAACAUUUUUUUCAUGCUUAAUUAAGUUUGGCAUGAGAUGGACUUGGUCUUUCUUAUGAUUCAAGUCUAUUUUAUACCAAUUUUGUUUUAAUCAACAAUCAAUGUUUUAAGUCUCAUGAUUUCAAUUUCAAAACCUCUUUGUUAAUUAAAUAUUCAUUUUUCCUUAGCAUUUGCAUCUUCUUAAUUUAUCAAAUUUAAAUUAUAAGAUAUCAUUUUUGCUGAAUAUCCCUUUUUUCACCUAUUUUCAUAGGCCCUAAGAUACAUUUCUGUAGUAAGCACUAUAAAUACAUUGCAAGCUAUUAUCAUUUGUUUGAUAUUACUAUUUUAUAGAAUCAUCUUUUAAUUUCUUUCAGAAAGAUAUUUGACAAAUUACUUGUGAUAUCCAUGCUUUAGCUGUAGAGUUUAAAAUCUUCAUUAAACCCACUGGGCAAUUUGUUACCGAUUACCAAUUUUACCGGUUAUUACCGGUAAUAUCACCCGGAAAUUUGAGUAACACCAAAUAUUACCGUUAUUACCAUGUUAUUACCGAAAUUAUAAUUCCUGUUGAUACCUGUUACUGUUAUCACCCUGAUGAAACCUACAUUUACCUAGUUACAACAGGGUGAUGAGGGGUAAUAAGGGUAAUGUUGAAUGACUUUGAUUGGUUAUAACAUUGCAAACUUUAGUAAUAAGAGCAAUCUUACAGCAAUCCCAGCGAAAUUUUCAAAGUCCAAAAAAUUACUGUUAUCACCCUGAUGAAACCAACAUUUUACCCAGUUACAAACAGGUUGAUAAGGGGUAAUGGGUAAUGUUGAAACGCUUCCAUUCCCAUACAGCAAAGUAUCUGGAUCACAUACGGUUCUUAUCUGGGAUAUCUGGGUCCCAUAUGGGCCCACAUGGAACCCAGAUGAAAACAUAUACUUGAACCCACAUGGUGCCCAGAUAGGACUCAGAUGGAAACGAGACCUCCAACCCAUGCGGAACCCAUUAAUAUUGGGUAAAUGGAGUAAUAUCAGAUGGUAAUAUCAGGAAAAUGCUGGGAAUAUUAGUUACUCAUGAAUAUACUACAAUAAAUGGCCAAAAUUUUAGCUAAUAUAGCUGUAAUAAUUAAUGUGUUUAUGUUUAUGCAAUUAUUCCACCCAGAAAAUUUUCAGAAAAAUGUGUAGUUUAUAUAUCAUAUUAGUCAUAAUCAUGACAUUAAUUUUAGAAAAAUGUUUUAGGGUUGAAUAAUUGUUAACCAUAAUUUGUCAAGUGUUGUAAACUCGCUCAAUAUAUAGAAGUAAAUGACAGGGUUUGGUGGAUAGGUGUAGGAUAGGAUUAGGAUUAGGAUGUAGGAUUUUAGGAUAGGAUAAGAUGAUAUGGCUUAGAGUAUGGAGUUGUAAAAAUGUGCUUCAAUGACCCUAAUGACACUAAUUGUUUUUUUAAUGAGCCGACAUUAAUUGGGUAAUAUUGGGUAAACAGAGUAAUAUGAGGUGGUGAUAUCAUUAAAAUAAUGGAAAUAUCGGUUACAUCAUACUGGGUAAUAUUGGGUAAAUGGAGUAAUAUCGGGUCCGGGUAAUAACGGGGAAAGAUUGGUCUACUAUUUCCCCGUUACUACCCACUGGUGUUACCGUGGUAUAAUAACUACGUUAUUACCUGUUACAACCCGGGUAAUAUCGGGUAAAAUGCCCAGUGGGAAGGAGAAUGAAACCCUUGAAACCAGCUGAAUCCAUAUCAAAGAAAAAAUUCAAAGAAACAUAUUGUUGAAAGUUUGAGGAAGAUUGAAUGAAUAAUAAGAAAGUUAUGAGCAUUUGAAUAUUGAGAUCACUAAUGCCAUGUAGAUCCUCCCAUUGGCAAUGCGACCAAGAUCUGUGAUGUCACACACGUACAACUCCCUCAUUGCUUUAGUACUUAUUUCACUUAUAUUCUCACUUAUUAUAGAAUCUAUCACAAGGUGAGGUGUUCUCUUUAUGAGAGGACAAGUACAGAGGUUUCACAACAUUAUAUCAUUGAUGAAUCGUUUGUCAUAUGAUUAGAAUGAGCAAAAAGAGAUGUUUUGGGGUAUAUUUUCAGUGUCCAAAAGGGGAGAGUUGUUCAUCUGUGAUAUCAUAGAUCUUGUUGCGUUGCCAAUGGGAGGAUCUCCAUAGCAAUAGUGAUCUCGACAUUCAAAUGUUCAUAACUCUUCUAUUGCUAGUCCUAUUUUACUCAAACUUUUGUUGAUCUUAUUCUUUGAUUUUUCUGCUUUCACAAAAGCUAACUUGCUCCAAGAGUUUCAUUCUCCUUUAAGAUUGUUUACGAUUUUCAAUAUUUCCUCAGAAUUUGUUGGAUUAAAAAACAAUGUAUGUUGACAUGAAUUGCGUAAAUAAUCUGCAAAUUUAUUUAAUCUGUUGUUUAUCUAUUUUCAUUCAGAGUUUCUGAAAACGUAAACAUAUCAUUUGUAUCAUUAUGUAAAGAAUUUCAAUCUACCUUAAAAAGUAAUGCACUAAAUAAACUGCUCUGUCUACU